UAAACGGCAGAACUCUAACCGCUGUGUCUCGGGCGCCUCUCUGCCCCAGGGAUCCAAAAUCAGGUCACAGACGAACCUGAGAGAAUCGGGGGACCUGAGGUCACAAGCUCUGCCCUUUAGUGGCCCACUUUCUUCUAUUUGGCCUGUGCUGUUGCUGAUGUGGUCCUGGGAAGGAUCUCUCUAGUCCUUUAUGCCCACAGAUGGGGCAGGGUUGCCAUCUACCUUGGGAUAAAGCGGAAACCGCCCCCAGGCUGCUCAGAUUCCCCUGGAGUGUGAAACUGACCAGCUCUCGACCUCCUGAGGCCCUGAUGGCUGCCCUGCGACAGGCCACAGCGGCCG
rnacentral:lncRNA from 1 species